UACGUAGGUGGCAAGCGUUGUCCGGAUUUACUGGGCGUAAAGGGCGUGCAGGCGGUUUGUUAAGUGCAGGGUGAAAGCUCCCGGCUCAACUGGGAGAGGUCCUUGCAUACUGGCAAACUCGAGGGAGGCAGAGGAAAGUGGAAUUCCCGGUGUAGUGGUGAUAUGCGUAGAUAUCGGGAGGAACACCUGUGGCGAAGGCGACAUCCUGGACCGGUAUUGACGCUGAGGCGCGAAAGCCAGGGGAGCAAACGGG
rnacentral:rRNA from 1 species